AUGGGCAAAGGAGAUCUUAAGAAGCCAAAAGGCAAAAUAUCAUCAUAUGCAUUUUUUGUGCAAACUUGUUGGGAGGAACAUAAGAAGCAGCACCCAGAUGCUUCAGUCAACUUCUCAGAGUUUUCUAAGAAGUGCUCAGAGAGGUGGAAGGCCAUGCCUGCUAAAGAGAAAGGAAAAUUGAAGAUAUGGCAAAGGCAGACAAGGCCCGCUAUGAAAGAGAAAUGAAAACCCAUAUCCCUCCUAAAGGGGAGCCAAAAAAGAAAUUCAAGGAUCCCAGUGCACCCAAGAGGCCUCCUUCGGCCUUUUUCCUGUUCUGCUCUGAGUAUCGCCCAAAAAUCAAAGGAGAACAUCUUGGCCUGUCCGUGGGUGAUGUUGUGAAGAAACUGGGAGAGAUGUGGAGUAACACUGCUGCAGAUGACAAGCAGCCUUAUGAAAAGAAGGCUUCGAAGCUGAAGGAAAAAUAUGAAAAGGAUAUUGCUGCAUAUCGAGCUAAAGGAAAGCCUGAUGCAGCAAAAAAGGGAGUUGUCAAGGCUGAAAAAAUGCAAAAGGAGGAAGAGGAUGAUGAGGAGGAGGAAGAUGAAGAAGAUAAGUUGAUUCUAGUGCAGUUUUUUUUUCUUGUCUAUAAAGCAUUUAACCCUCCCAUACACAACUCACUCCUUUCAAAGAAAAAAAUGGAAAUGUAAGGCUGUGUAAGAUUUGUUUUAAACUGUACAGUGUCUUUUUUUAUGUAGUUUACACACUACCGAAUGUGUCUUUAGACACCCCUAUCUGGGUGGUAUUUUCGAUAGCCACUAACCUUGCAUGGUACAGGGUGGGGGAUGCAAACUGGCCUGGAAAUGUAAAGCAGGUUCUUUGGUGCACAGCACAAAUUAGUUACAUCUAAGGAUGGUAGUUUUUCAUCUUCAGUUGUCUCUGAUGCAGCUUAUAUAAAAUAAUUGUUGUUCUGUUAACUGAAUGACACUCUGUAAUUAUUAAAAAAAAAGUUGCAGCUGUUUUAUUGACAUUCUGAAUGCUUCUAAGGAAAUACAUUUUUUUUAUUAGUAUUGUCCUUUUCAUAGGUCUGAAAUUUUUCUUCUUGAGGGGAAGCUAGUCUUUUGCUUUUGCUCAUUUUGAAUCACAUGAAUUAUUAUAGUGUUUAUCCUUUCAUAUAGUUAGCUAAUAAAAGGCUUUUGUCUACACACCCUGCAUAUCAUAAUGGGGGUAAAGUUAAGUUGAGAUGAUUUUCAUCCAUAACU